UACGUAGGCGGCAAGCGUUGUCCGGAAUCAUUGGGCGUAAAGGGAGCGCAGGCGGAACAUUAAGCGGAUCUUAAAAGUGCGGGGCUCAACCCCGUGAUGGGGUCCGAACUGAGGUUCUUGAGUGCAGGAGAGGAAAGCGGAAUUCCCAGUGUAGCGGUGAAAUGCGUAGAUAUUGGGAAGAACACCAGUGGCGAAGGCGGCUUUCUGGACUGUAACUGACGCUGAGGCUCGAAAGCCAGGGUAGCGAACGGG
rnacentral:rRNA from 1 species